UUCUCUGUAAAGUGAGCUUCUGGGUUCUGCAGUGGGAUCGGCACAGACCUUACCGCAGCUACAGGCCACAUGACGACCCUGCUGCUCCUUCUUUCUGCGGGCACUCGGGGCAAUCCUAACAAUCGCCCCUCAAGCUGCCCUAACCUCAAUCCCAGACUCGAGGAAGUGCGUGCUGGGACGAAUCCAGGCGGGUCUCCAAAACCGGUGAAGAUGCUGAGGUUCAGGUCAUUCCGGACUCCUGAUGCCGCCAGUCCCGCGGUGAGACGUGAGCGCCAUUGGCGUCCGUGGCCUCUGUUUCCGUGGCAACCCAGUAACCAUUAAUUUUCAAUUAAAGGAGACAAAAAGCUCGAUGACAGCUCCAGGUCUGCUGAAGAUGUCAAGAAUCUGUAUUAAUAUACAGCAAGAGAGCAUAAUUGUGUGUCCAUCUUCCAGAGCAGCGAAAAAUGGAGGGAUAAUUACCAGCUCGAAAGCCACUCUGUAAUUUAGUUCUUACUGUCACCACAGCCCUACACAUUAGCAUAAAUUAAAAGCAGAGUUUAUUGUUAUCAAAGUGCA